GCGGACAUGGUGGAAUUGGUAGACACAUCAGACUUAAAAUCUGAAGGAGAUUAGUCUCCGUCCCGGUUCGAGUCCGGGUGUCCGCACCA
rnacentral:tRNA from 1 species